rnacentral:tRNA from 1 species
GCAGUGGUGGUUCAGUGGUAGAAUUCUUGCCUUCCACACAGGAGGCCCGGGUUUGAUUCCCGGCCAAUUCU